GAGUUUGAUCUUGGCUCAGGACGAACGCUGGCGGCGUGCUUAACACAUGCAAGUCGAGCGGUAAGGCCCCUUCGGGGGUACACGAGCGGCGAACGGGUGAGUAACACGUGAGCAACCUACCCUCAACUUUGGGAUAAGCCUCGGAAACGGGUCUAAUACCGGAUAAUACUGACCGUCUCAUGGUGGUUGGUUGAAAGUUCUGGCGGUUGGGGAUGGGCUCGCGGCCUAUCAGCUUGUUGGUGGGGUAAUGGCCUACCAAGGCGUCGACGGGUAGCCGGCCUGAGAGGGCGACCGGCCACACUGGGACUGAGACACGGCCCAGACUCCUACGGGAGGCAGCAGUGGGGAAUAUUGCGCAAUGGACGAAAGUCUGACGCAGCAACGCCGCGUGAGGGAUGACGGCCUUCGGUUGUAA
rnacentral:rRNA from 1 species